GGGACAUGUUGAGUGCCGCGGCCAACUCGUUGACGUCGUUGCUACCAAGAUAAGGAGACUGCAGAAACUUUCUCUCCAAUGCCCCCACCUCUGUUGUAGAGAAGGGUAUGCGCGGAUUACGUGUUACAAAUGACUCACGUGGAAGCUUCGGAGGUCGGUAGCGUGUACAAUAGACCCAGGAAAAGUUGGGAUCGCUGUGAUCGCUGAUGGACCUCGACUUGGAUUCGGAGGUGAAGAUUUCCGAUGAAGUGACAACAAUCGCUGAUGGUGUAGAUGUUCGAGACGAUAGGAUUGCUUCAAUGCUGAAAUCAACUUUCGGUUUCGGCCUAACGGUAAUUAACUCGAUUGGUUUGUCUACAGCAGCCAUGAAAACUCCUUCUUGCGGCAGUCUGUUUCUAACAAUGUUUUUAUUAAUCGUGGACUCCUCUGUUGUGGAACCUUCUUGAUUAAUUUCCUGCUCUUUGUUGAUCAUUUCGGAAUCCAUCUUCUAGGUUCGAAAUAAUGCACACGUCUAAAUAGAUUUGCUUGAGUAAGAGCUCCGACAACUCAACAUCACUGGGCGACAAUCUUGCUAACUAAUGAAACCGAUGGCUGACCCGCGAACGGCUUUGGUUUUCCUUAGUCGACAAGAUAGAUGUAUCAAAGGGAGGAGCUUGCAACUAGCACCCUCAAUAACCAGUGUUACUGGAAGACUAGGCUAUCAUAUCACAUUGGUUUCGGGGGAUGUAAAGCGAGAAGAAUGGUAUGGCUUUUUCAUGCUGUGAUCAUUGAGGUGAAUAGCAUCGAAAUAGACAGCGGAGGUAAUUGGUAGGCCACCUAUACAUCUGCCCGAUGGCUAUGAGCUAACAAGUACAGAUGCAGCCGCCACGGUUGAUGGACAGUGAUUUCACAUGCCGCACCCGCACACCCUAUAUUGUGUUAUAGCUAUGCCGAACUAAGCAACAGAGUAUUAUUUCCCCGCAAAAUUGAAAAUUUUUGCACUUGUGUUCUGAAAGAUUCAUAAAAGAAGCAAACGAACAAAGUUUUUUAAAUAUAAGGGGUAAUGCUAUAAACGGAAAACUUGGCAAAGUUCUGUUAUUUCCAUGAAUUUGUAUGAGUUAGUCCCAAUUUAGUUUGUAGUCAUCGACUUGAAUAUCAUCACUUUAUCUGCGGGUAACUACGGGUAAGACUAAAGACGAACAAGAUAUAGCUGUAGCCGUAUUCACUCGUCAAUUAUAUAGAUUUAUCAUUGUUGUUAUUUAAUAUAGGAUGUUUUCGUCUGAUUUUAACCAAUUUUAACAAGGUACCAAAGAUGCAUUUUACUAUUUUCGGUCAUCGUGCUGAUUACACACAGUUUUAUAUCUACCCAUGCAAACUGUGAUGCAACUCGACGAGGCAGUCCACUAAUUAAGCCAUCUAGAUAAUUACAACACUUAAACAGCGUAUUUCUAUUUGUAUUAACCUGCUAACUUCAAAUCUAAAAAAAAAAACUGUAAAGAGAAUGAAGUUCACUUGCUAGAAUUAUACAAAUUUACCG